UUUUAUUUGAUUGAUAAUUUU
rnacentral:piRNA from 1 species